rnacentral:rRNA from 1 species
CACGCCGUAAACGAUGAGUGCUAGGUGUUAGGGGUGUUACCGCCCUUAGUGCUGAAGUUAACGCAUUAAGCACUCCGCCUGGGGAGUACGGCCGCAAGGCUGAAACUCAAAGGAAUUGACGGGGGCCCGCACAAGCGGUGGAGCAUGUGGUUUAAUUCGAAGCAACGCGAAGAACCUUACCAGGUCUUGACAUCCUCUGACCAUCCUGGAGACAGGACAUUCCCUUCGGGGACAGAGUGACAGGUGG